GCCACACAGAAGAAUCCCAGCAGCUCUGCCGAGAACACUGCUGAGGUUCAGAGUGCCUAGGUAUUUUUGUUUCCUGAAUGCCUUAUUCACCUGCACUGUCUUUAUGCCAACUUGUCAUAUGCACUGCAAUUGGACUUCCAUGACAGCUUGUCUAUGAGAUGUUGCCCGCAAGUUGCAGACAAUCACCAAAAUAAACAAUUGACACAGAUGUCAAUCCUCUUUCUCUCUCCACCCCGAUCCCCAUGAAGAUUUUUUUUUUAAACCAUUAAAAGGAAAAUGCUUCAUGUCAA